AGAGAGAAAGAGAAAGAGAAAGAGAAACUGCAGAAGUAGUUGACCCGAUCGAAGAAGGAUUUAUGUACCAUAUUUGGACUUGGCGACUCCGAAGAGCUUCUCUUCUCCCUCUCUAUGAUUUCCCUCUCUUCUCUCUCACUUUUGGUCCUCUUCUCUCUUCUCCUUCUCCUCUUCUCUCUUCUCAUUCUGCACAAUGGCUGAAUUUAUUAUUGAGACAUCUUUUUCAAGAAGCAAGAGAAAAUUCUGGGUUUGAAGGGAAAUUUUAUCGUUUAAUUCAAUCAAAAGUUGAUAAAGUGAAGAGAAAAG
rnacentral:ribozyme from 13 species